AUUGAACGCUGGCGGCAUGCCUUACACAUGCAAGUCGAACGGCAGCACGGAGCUUGCUCUGGUGGCGAGUGGCGAACGGGUGAGUAAUAUAUCGGAACGUACCCUAGAGUGGGGGAUAACGUAGCGAAAGUUACGCUAAUACCGCAUACGAUCUAAGGAUGAAAGUGGGGGAUCGCAAGACCUCAUGCUCGUGGAGCGGCCGAUAUCUGAUUAGCUAGUUGGUAGGGUAAAAGCCUACCAAGGCAUCGAUCAGUAGCUGGUCUGAGAGGACGACCAGCCACACUGGAACUGAGACACGGUCCAGACUCCUACGGGAGGCAGCAGUGGGGAAUUUUGGACAAUGGGCGAAAGCCUGAUCCAGCAAUGCCGCGUGAGUGAAGAAGGCCUUCGGGUUGUAAAGCUCUUUUGUCAGGGAAGAAACGGUGAAAGCUAAUAUCUUUUGCUAAUGACGGUACCUGAAGAAUAAGCACCGGCUAACUACGUGCCAGCAGCCGCGGUAAUACGUAGGGUGCAAGCGUUAAUCGGAAUUACUGGGCGUAAAGCGUGCGCAGGCGGUUUUGUAAGUCUGAUGUGAAAUCCCCGGGCUCAACCUGGGAAUUGCAUUGGAGACUGCAAGGCUAGAAUCUGGCAGAGGGGGGUAGAAUUCCACGUGUAGCAGUGAAAUGCGUAGAUAUGUGGAGGAACACCGAUGGCGAAGGCAGCCCCCUGGGUCAAGAUUGACGCUCAUGCACGAAAGCGUGGGGAGCAAACAGGAUUAGAUACCCUGGUAGUCCACGCCCUAAACGAUGUCUACUAGUUGUCGGGUCUUAAUUGACUUGGUAACGCAGCUAACGCGUGAAGUAGACCGCCUGGGGAGUACGGUCGCAAGAUUAAAACUCAAAGGAAUUGACGGGGACCCGCACAAGCGGUGGAUGAUGUGGAUUAAUUCGAUGCAACGCGAAAAACCUUACCUACCCUUGACAUGGCUGGAAUCCUUGAGAGAUCAGGGAGUGCUCGAAAGAGAACCAGUACACAGGUGCUGCAUGGCUGUCGUCAGCUCGUGUCGUGAGAUGUUGGGUUAAGUCCCGCAACGAGCGCAACCCUUGUCAUUAGUUGCUACGAAAGGGCACUCUAAUGAGACUGCCGGUGACAAACCGGAGGAAGGUGGGGAUGACGUCAAGUCCUCAUGGCCCUUAUGGGUAGGGCUUCACACGUCAUACAAUGGUACAUACAGAGCGCCGCCAACCCGCGAGGGGGAGCUAAUCGCAGAAAGUGUAUCGUAGUCCGGAUUGUAGUCUGCAACUCGACUGCAUGAAGUUGGAAUCGCUAGUAAUCGCGGAUCAGCACGUCGCGGUGAAUACGUUCCCGGGUC
rnacentral:rRNA from 1 species